rnacentral:rRNA from 1 species
ACAUUGUCCUAUGAAACAAAUAUAGGAUAAUACCUGCCCAGUGACAAUGUUCAACGGCCGCGGUAUCCUAACCGUGCAAAGGUAGCAUAAUCACUUGCCUAUUAAUUGUAGGCUAGAAUGAAGGGGUUAACGAAAUAAAAACUGUCUCAAUUAAUUACCUAAAAAUUAUUUUCUACUCGAAGAAAAGUAGAUAAUCUCGAAGGACAAGAAGACCCUAUAGAGCUUAAUAAUAAUUAUAGAACUACACUAUAAAAAUAUUCGGUUGGGGCGACCCUGGGCUAAAUAAUCACCCACUACAUAAAAGAUAAAUUAAUCAAUUAAAUGACCCUUCAAAGAUCAUUAAACUAAGCUACCUUAGGGGUAACAGGCUAAUCCCACUCAAGAGUCCUUAUCAACAGUGGGGCUUGGCACCUCGAUGUUGGCUUAGGGUAUCUAUACAGCGCAAAAGUUGUAUAAAGAUGGUUUGUUCAACCAAUAAUUCCCUACGUGAU